AUACGAACUGUGCGAACGUUAUUCGGAAUCACUGGGCUUAAAGGGUGCGUAGGCGGCUUUGUAGGUCAGAUGCGAAAUCCCACGGCUCAACCGUGGAAUUGCGUUUGAAACCACAAAGCUUGAGGGAGAUAGAGGAGAGCGGAACUGAUGGUGGAGCGGUGAAAUGCGUUGAUAUCAUCAGGAACACCGGUGGCGAAGGCGGCUCUCUGGAUCUCUUCUGACGCUCAGGCACGAAAGCUAGGGGAGCGAACGGGAUUAGAUACCCCAGUAGUCC
rnacentral:rRNA from 1 species